ensembl:lncRNA
AAACCCAUUUACUUUAGGAGGAGAUAGGAUUCCAUUCGUGAGACGCCUGUGGCUGCUUCUGUUGGAUUUGGUGGCAGUCCUUUCUGCAUUUCUCAGAGGAUCAUCAGUGCAACACCCUGAGGAAAGCAGUAACAUAGAAAUUACACAGUUCUACUGGAGAUUCACCUUUAUCCAAAUCGAAGAUGAAGCAUUUUGGGGGCAAUAAUAGGAUGUUAGUUGUUAAUUCUGGGUCCUGGGAAUAUGAGGGAGUUUAGUUAUCUAUAUUUUAUAUUCCUCUUUGUUUAAAAUUUAAUAAGUUUCCAGCACUUUGGGAGGCCGAGACGGGCGGAUCACGAGGUCAGAAGAUCGAGACCAUCCUGGUUAACACGGUGAAACCUCGUCUCUACUAAAAAAAAUACAAAAAACUAGCCGGGCGAGGUGGCGGGCGCCUGUAGUCCCAGCUACUCGGGAGGCUGAGGCAGGAGAAUGUCGUAAACCUGGGAGGCGGAGCUUGCAGUGAGCUGAGAUCCGGCCACUGCACUCCAGCCUGGGCGACAGAGCGAGACUCCGUCUCAAAAAAAAAAAAAAAAAAAAAUUAAUAAGUUUAAAAAAACAUCAAAAUGCCAUGAUUAUUUUACUUUGAGAUAUUUAAGGAUUACGGACACUUUGAAAAUAUACACAAAGUAAGAGUCUGGCACAUACAUAUGCCUAACAUAGCAAAACUGUGUCAUUCCAGAGAUUUUGGCAUGUUGAAUGGGCACUGUGGUGUUCUACAAUCUUCAAGAACAGUACACUUACACCUUCAGUAAGAACUCCAGCUUCCCUGCAGCUUUAUUUCCUGAAGAGGUCAUGCUGACCAGAGAGGCGGCCACACUGAGCUUCCGAACCACCGUCCCCCCGCUUACAGCUCUGCAAGAGCUCCUUCCGCGAGGAAUACCUUCCAGUUGUUCUCACCUUAAAUGCUGCUCUUCAUCCAUCGGUAGCUGGGAAGUGGCUCAUGUCAUCCCUGCAUGAAACAGAGAAGUGGAGCGGGAGUUACCCAGCCUGUGCCCCACCAGGGCUUUUUCAGGCGUGGACAUUGGAGAGCAAAACCAGCCUUCAACCUUGCCUCGUGGCACACGAGAGGAGAAACUUCUGGAAGCACCUCCACACUCUCUAAUAGGAUCUGGCAUAGGCAUCAAGGUAGAGAGUCUAUCUGUGAAGACCAUUGUGUGGGUAAAGGGUUUAGAUAUUGUAGUAAACCACUUACUUCUCUUUCCCAUGUUCCUUGAUUAUGGCGGAAACAUUAGAAAAAAAAAUCCCGGUUGUGCAAAGAAAAAUUAUGCAAAUGUCAGUAAUACAUUCAAAUGUAUUAAAAUAAGUCAUAUUAAAAGAAGUUAUUAAAAAAUGUUUUCAGGGUUCAUCCAUGUUGUAAGAGGUAUCAGAACUUCACUCCUUUUUAUGCCUUAAUUAUAUUUUAUUGUUUGUAUAUACUAUAGUUUUUAAAUCCAGUCAUCUGCUGGGUUGUUUCCACGUUUUGACAAUUGUCACUACAGCUACUUUCACUUUUUUUUUUUUUUGAGAUGGAGUCUUACUCUGUCGCCCAGGCUGGAGUGCAGUGGCACAAUCUUGGCUCACUGCAAGCUCCGCCUCCCUUGUUCAAGCGAUUCUCCUGCCUCAGCCUCCAGAGUAGCUGGAACUGCAGGUACCCACCACCACACCUGGCUAAUUUUUUGUAUUUUUAGUAGAGAGGGGGUUUCAUCGUGUUAGCCAGGAUGGUCUCGAUGUCCUGCCCUUGUGAUCCGCCCACCUCUGCCUCCCAAAGUGCUGGGAUUACAGGCGUGAGCCACCGCACCAGGCCAACAUUUUUUUACAAACAGAAGUUAAAUGCUUAUAAAACUGAAUGGUAAUGCGGUAUUGCCUAAGUUC